GAACGCAUAUUGCGCUCUCUGGUAUUCCGGAGAGCAUGCUUGUUUGAGUAUCAGUAAACACCUCAACUCCUUUUUCUUUUUUGAAAUUGGAGCUGGACUUGAGUGAUCCCAACGCUUUCUUCCAAGAAAGUGGCGGGUUGCUUGAAAAGCAGGGGCCGCUGAACUUUUCUCUGAGCUAUAAGCAUAUCUAUUUAGUCUGCCUAAAAAACAGAUUAUUACCUUUGCUGCAGCUAACAUAAAGGAGACUAGUUCUUGUGCUGACUGAUGCAGGAUUCACAGAGACAGCUUCGGCUGACUUUGUAAACUCGAUCUCAAAUCAAGUAAGACUACCCGCUGAACUUAAG
rnacentral:misc_RNA from 1 species